rnacentral:rRNA from 1 species
UAAUACGUAGGUGACAAGCGUUGUCCGGAUUUACUGGGCGUAAAGAGCGCGCAGGCGGUCGUUCAAGUCGAGUGUGAAAGCCCCCGGCUCAACUGGGGAGGGUCACUCGAUACUGAUCGACUCGAAGGCAGGAGAGGGUAGUGGAAUUCCCGGUGUAGUGGUGAAAUGCGUAGAUAUCGGGAGGAACACCAGUGGCGAAGGCGACUACCUGGCCUGUUCUUGACGCUGAGGCGCGAAAGCUA